UUAACGCUUCCGCUUAGCGAUCUACAAGGGUAUGUGGAUCCGAUCUCCCUCUCGUAGAUGAUCAUCACCAUGAUAGGUCUUCGUUCGCGUAGGAAAUUUUUUGUUUCCCAUGCAACGUUCCUCAACAGGUACCCCCGAACUCUCUGCACCAGUACUCAGGAUGCCGGGCUUAUCUCACCACUACUAGUAUUGAAGCAAUUUCGAACAACCUUCGCCCUGAGAUACUAAGAAAUCUGAAUGAUAACGAUGUGCUCAAGAAUUCCCUGGAGCUUACCUCCCUGGAAUAAAAUCAACACAGCAGGAGGCACCAAGUCAGAACUCCGUCACAUCGACAUCAUAUAGAUUCCAAAAAUAUCCGUGUGAUCCUAAUUUUUUUGAGUGAGAAAAGGAGUAGAAUUAAAUUUGUUACGUCAAGAUUCCUCACCAGAGCAUAGAAGAGGAAAAAAGGGAUCAUACUCUACGAUAUAUAACUAGACUCAAAGCAGUUUUUCAUUAGACUCGACUCGACCAAGUUCGAUCAAUCAAGGGGGCUCCUAGGUCGGUAUUGCUCUCAUACCAACUUGUAACAUCCAAGAUGCGACCCUGUCCUUAUUUUGACUUGAGGGCCUUGACAGGGAUAGAAGCGCAUCUCGUUGUUUUGCAAGAAUGGAUAUCGUUAGAAGUACAUGUACAUAACAGAUGAGUAUAUGGAAUUGGCUUACACUCACCACAAGCUACAUCAAGUUCACAUCAAUAAAACAAUAUACGGUCAUCAUGAAGAAGAGCAGGGUCCGACUACGGAUGAAAACAAACGAUAAAAGAACGACGUUCAUCCUUGCAAUCGCAGGCUGCCAGCCUGGAACCCAUCCUAGAUCGAAGAAGAAGAAGAAGANNNNGAAGAAGAAGAAGAAACUCCAAAAGCACAAUCAUCGAGCUCACAUCAAAGUAUUGCUUUACCUACACCUGCAACUGUUGUUGUAGUAAUCUGUGAGCCACGGGGACUCAACAAUCUCAUUUUCAAAGGUAUCAAGACUAGCAAAGCUUAAUGGGUGAGGCAUGGUUAAGUGGUGAGGCUGCAGCAAGCGAGUAAGCAUUUAUUUGAGUGGCUAACUUACAAGUAUAAGAAUAAGAGGGGGGUGGUCUACGCAUAAUGAACGUGAACUAAUAAUGAUCAAAUGAAUGAUCCUGAACACCUACUUAUGUCAUACAUAACCUCACCGUGUCCUCGAUCGGAGAAGGAGCUCACGGAAGAGACAAUCACGGUUACGCAUUCAGUUGGCAAGUUUUAAUUAAGUUUACUUCAAGUUUUUUAGAACCGGAUGUUAAACAAAGUUUCCACGUUGCCACAUAACCGCGGACACGGCUUUCCGAAAGAUUUAACCCUGCAGGGAUGCUCCAACUAGUCCAUCGCAAAUUACCACAAGCUGCAUAGAAAGCCUCGAUCACGAAGCUCGUGAUCUCCUCGGAUUCCUUAGUGGAAAACCUCAACUCUGAGAUUACCCAAAUCAUCACCGGAAUCCCGAUGCACAAGAUGUUUUGUAAAAGGUAAAACUAAUCCAGCAAGGCCGUCCGGCGUGCCGACAAACCCGAUAGGAGCCGCGUAUCUCAUUCUCAGGGCACGACCGGAUGAGCUAGACGUCGGGUUGGCUGAAACCCCGGGUGACCAGGGGGCGCCGGACAUCGCUCAGGUUGGACCAACACUCAUGAGGAGCACUAGCCCCGGGGAUUGAUUAAUUUCCUAAGGGUUCGACUAGUCCCGAUGCAAGUUUAUUAGUUAUUAGGCAAAUGCAGUACCAAAGUUGGGCCUCCCCAGACCAGUUUUAAACUAAGACGAAUUAUCAAGGGGGUCCCCAUAACAAGCCCAAUCGUGUUAGGAGCGCUCAAUUAUUGAAUAUAACACCGGUAGCCGAAACUAAGGCGGCAAAGAUGGAACAAAACACCAGGCUAGAAAGGCCGAGCCUUCCAUCUUUUACCAAGUAUAUAGGUGCAUUCCUUUAAGUAACAUUAAUAUGGUGAUAUAACAAGGAACGCACGUUAUCACAUGGAAGCAACUGCACCUGCAACUAGAAACACUAUCCAAUGGUUAAGCAAGCGGUAACAUAGCCAAUCAGUGGUUUGCUAGGUUGUAGAAAGGUUGAGGGUUUUCAUGGCAGUGUUGAGAGGCUGACAUUUAACAGGUGGUAGGCAACGAGACAUAACGAAAGAAACGAGACAACUAGCAUGGCAUUGAUAGUAAUGAUAUCUAGGAAAAUGGUCAUCUUGCCUGAGAUCCCGUUUGGAAGAAGAACGAAUCCAUGAAGCGGAUGAACCGACGUAGUCGAACGUAUUCUCACAUUCCGACAAGUUUACGGAACUCUAUCGAGACGAAGCAAACCGGAAACAAGAAGCAACACACGAUAUUCACCACGGGACAUGCACGAUAUGAUGCACAACGAAACAUGAUGCAUGUCCAUCUCAAUUAUGCAAGGCGUGGCAUGAUAAUUCACAUAAUCAAACACUACAUAUUAAGUGAAGCUCAAUAUGCAACGAGUUGCAUAUUGAUGAAACUCCACAUACGAAUUAUUUAGUUCACUCCCGUUUAGGUACACAACAAUAUUAAAUGUUGUUUAAACAUGACAAGAGGUGAAUCAUGUGAUUCUACACGACAUUCUAGUCGAUUUACCUAUAUAACUCAUCUCCAAUGGAGCUACGGUUAACUCGCUACGAAGAACACAAGAUCAUCUGACAUGGAUGCAACAUGAAUGCAAAAAAUAUUGAUGUGGUUGGGCAAGCGAAUCCAGAUCAGUGUGUGUGUGCAAAAGGAAAAAUAAACAUGGCAAAAAUUGGGGGUGCAUCAGGAUCCCUUGGGUGGAGUCCGAAUGCAGUAACCAGCUCGGCUACACACAAUUGCUGGUGUUGAAGGCUAUUUAAAUGCAGUUGAACCAUGUGUGCGCCAGGAUGCAGAUGUGUGCACAAAUUAUAGAAAACAUGCAAAAAAUAUAGGAAACGUUUCUGGCGGUGCGCCGGCCGAACCGUUCGGCCGGCCGCACGCGACCCACGCGCUGACUGGGCAUGCAAUAUUUUUCGGUCUAAAAUGUUGCAACCAGUGUCAUAUUUGCUACAAGCGUUUUUAUUUGCUACAUUUGUCCAGUAAAAAAGCUGCAUAUACAUUUGGUUGCAACUCCAGUUCGUCGGAUUUUUCGUUACAAUCAAUGUUUUUUACUUUUACUACAACCGUGUUAAUUUUUGCUACAACCGACAUCAUUUUUUGCUGCAACCGUUCAUUAAAAAAGUUGCAUAUACGUUCACAUAGAUAUUUGUUACAACCGACGUUUGACUUUUGCUAUCACGCACCAUCAGCUUCGUUUUUUUUGCUACGAUCACGUAGAUAUUUUUUUUGCUAUAAAUUUUGUUUUUUGUUGCAACCGUUGAAAAAAUUACUGCAUCGCGUCGAAUUUUUGCUGUAUCAGGGAAAUAUUUUUUUGCAUGCAGAUCCAACGGUGAAGACGCGCAGGGUUGGUGGAUCGUACUGCCCGUGCGCCGGCGCAGAGCACUGUCCAAAAAAUAUUUGGGCGCAUGAGACUUGAGCCCAGGACCUCAACUCUAAAUACAUACUGCGCUAGCCAACUAAGCUAGUACUUUAUUCCAAUAUAGGUUAAAUUUUGUUUUUUGUUACAACCAUUGAAAAAAUUGCUGCAUCAGAGAAAAAAUGUUGCAUGGAGAUGCAAUGAUGGGACGCGCAGGGUUGGUUGGUUGCGGACCGCACGCCGGGCGUACAGCACUGUCCAGAAAAUAAAUUAUAUUGACACAGCUGAGAUUGGAACCCCAGACCUCUGGGAACCCAAUGGUGCCAGCCGUCGGCUGUGCUUGCUCGUGUGAUAAAUUAGCAGGUCUGUCCUAUAAAUACCAAAGAAAUACGGGUCUUCUUUCCCACAAGGCACACACGCAAUGGCAGUCAACAGAACAUGUGGAAGUUGCUGCAAUGGACCUGCUGCGCUGGGGAACCGGGCGGGGAUAGCGCUGGCCGAGGGGUCGAGGUCCGGCACGGACAUGGAGGCGCCGGGCCCGCCCGUGAGGAGUCAAUUCCGGGGAGAGCUCCUUGGGGCAGCAUCCAUGACGGGCACCUGCUGAGACACAGAGAGAGGCAGGGAGAUUAGACGGAGAUGGACAAGAGAAGGAAGAAUGGAGAGGGGCACGAGGACCUGGCCUGGACCUGCGGCAGGACGAUGGCGCGGAUGAAGCUCCAUGGCCAUGGCGACCUCCCUGUAACAGAGAAAGCAAGAGGGAUAGAGGGAGAUGUGAGAGAGAUGCGAAAACGUGGGGGAAAAUGCAAGGGAGGGAAGAAGGAGAGGACGCGAUGGGUCCGACCUGCAACGUUGCUGCAGGGUUGGAGGAGCGGAGGAGGCCGGUGCCCUGCGAGCUCGAGCUCGGGAUCGAGGAACUCCCUUCGAUCCGAUCGAGCGGGGCUGGAAGAAGGCGUCGGGUCCAAGAGCUUGGGCCUUCUGGG
rnacentral:lncRNA from 1 species